rnacentral:rRNA from 1 species
AUUGAACGCUGGCGGCAUGCCUUACACAUGCAAGUCGAACGGUAACAGGUCUUCGGAUGCUGACGAGUGGCGAACGGGUGAGUAAUGCAUCGGAACGUGCCCAGUAGUGGGGGAUAGCCCGGCGAAAGCCGGAUUAAUACCGCAUACGACCUGAGGGUGAAAGGGGGGGAGUCGCAAGACCUCUCGCUAUUGGAGCGGCCGAUGUCAGAUUAGCUAGUUGGUGGGGUAAAGGCCCACCAAGGCGACGAUCGAUAGCUGGUCUGAGAGGAUGAUCAGCCACACUGGAACUGAGACACGGUCCAGACUCCUACGGGAGGCAGCAGUAGGGAAUAUUGGACAAUGGGGGCGAACCCUGAUCCAGCCAUGCCGCGUGAGUGAAGAAGGCCCUCGGGUUGUAAAGCUCUUUUGUCCGGAAAGAAAAGCAAUCGGUUAAUACCCGGUUGUCCUGACGGUACCGGAAGAAUAAGCACCGGCUAACUUCGUGCCAGCAGCCGCGGUAAAGU